UACGUAGGGUGCGAGCGUUGUCCGGAAUUAUUGGGCGUAAAGAGCUCGUAGGCGGUUUUGUUGCGUCGGCUGUGAAAUCCCGAGGCUCAACCUCGGGUCUGCAGUCGAUACGAGCAAACUAGAGUGUUGCAGGGGAGACUGGAAUUCCUGGUGUAGCAGUGAAAUGCGUAGAGAUGCGGAGGAACACCGAUGGCGAAGGCAGCCCCCCUGGGCUGACACUGACGCUCAGGCACGAAAGCGUGGGGAGCAAACAGG
rnacentral:rRNA from 1 species